rnacentral:ncRNA from 2 species
UAUCUUUGGCCAGCGUCUGGUGCUCACGCGCGCUUUUCCCGCGCGCGUAGUUAAACGGGAAACAGGAUGCACAAGCGCCUUUUUUCACACGCUUGUGCCGACAAAGACCUGUGCUGUCCCCGCAACGGUACGCGACCCGUGCCCGCUUCGACUCCCUCUCAUUCGAACCGGGUGCCCAUUUCCUCCACGGCCACUGCUCCCACGAGCGGGAAGGCGAGCGGAAUGCGGUCGCCAAGCCCGGAUACCGGCCAGUCGCCAAGUGGCACG